rnacentral:rRNA from 1 species
UGGGGAAUUUUCCGCAAUGGGCGAAAGCCUGACGGAGCAAUACCGCGUGAGGGAUGAAGGCCUUUGGGUUGUGAACCUCUUUUAUCAAGGAUGAAGUCCUGACGUGUACUUGAUGAAUAAGCAUCGGCUAACUCCGUGCCAGCAGCCGCGGUAAGACGGAGGAUGCAAGUGUUAUCCGGAAUCACUGGGCGUAAAGCGUCUGUAGGUGGUUUAAAAAGUCCACUGUUAAAAAUUGAAGCUUAACUUCAAAGAUGCCGUGGAAACUUUUAAACUUGAGUAUGAUAGGGGUAGAGGGAAUUUCCAGUGGAGCGGUGAAAUGCGUAGAUAUUGGAAAGACCACCAAUGGCGAAGGCACUCUACUGGGCCAUUACUGACACUGAGAGACGAAAGCUAGGGUAGCGAAUGGGAUUAGAUACCCCAGUAGUCCUAGCUGUAAACGAUGGAUACUAGAUGUUGUGUGUAUUGACCCAUGCAGUAUCGUAGCUAACGCGUUAAGUAU